UGCCUGGUGCAGGCAUCAUGGUCCCUGCAGCAGAAACCAAAGUCCCCCACCCCCAUCAUGUCUGCAGGACCACCUGGGGUGUGAGUAGUCAGUGGGAACCAGCUUAAGCCUGGGCAGUGUCUCCCCACUCUCUAGGGCUAUAGAAGCUGCAAAGAAGAGACCCUUUCCCUAGAGCACCCAUCUUGCUCUGGGGAGCCCCGUAUCACACGUGUUGGCUGGCUGUAGAAGAGAGCCCCCCUUGGGGAGUUCUCAGCCUCAGUUCACACAUUCCUGUGGACUUACUCCACUCAUUCUGGCUAGACUUCCCCCAGUCAGUUACCUCCCCUAUGUCCUCGAAGUCCCCAUGGUCUCUGCCCAGUCAGAGUUGAGAAUGGUGCCAAAGUCCAUCAGUGUUCCCCGGGCUCCUUUAUCCCUCACCCCUGCAUCUUGGGACCCACCCCUAGGGGCUGACCCCUCUCAGUGCUCCUAGAGCCUCAGGUAGAAUGGUGCCCACAGCAUUCCCUGGGUGCUUCCUAGGUGGGGCCCCCAGCUCAGUCUCCAUUCCUGGUGGCCCACUCGUCAAGUGUUAAAAACGCCUGGGGGCUGGGGCAGGGUACCCCUGAGGAGGCCCUCAUGUGCUCCUCAUGUGCUCCUCCACACUGCCCACCACCAUUUUGCACACUGCCUGUUCACACUCCAUGUCUCCAAGGCAGAAAAGAUGGAAAAUAAAGUGUAUUUACACAGUCA
rnacentral:lncRNA from 1 species